UUAAGAACCAUGAUUACAGUUGAAAUUAUAGAUUUCGUACAUGACAACAAUUUGCUCUAGUCUCACUCUCAAGAUUUUGUGGUUGUUGUUGCAGUAUUCGAGAGAAUACAUGUCAAAUAUGAGAGCAUGCAUGUCAUGUACGAAAUCUACAAUUUAAACUCUAAUUAAUGGAUGGUUCU
rnacentral:pre_miRNA from 1 species